rnacentral:lncRNA from 1 species
AGGGAACUGACAUUUGAACAAGAGCGGCAGUGCAGUGGUUGAGAUUUUAGCAACUUUUAGUUGUUGUUCUGGCAUUGUUUUGAAGACGUCAGUGGCAAAGUGUGUUUUAUACCAGAUUUUAGUCUGUUUGGGAUAUUUUCACAAACAUAAACAUCCGCCAGGAAGUGCCUGUUGUCAGGCUGCGGACACCGCGAUUCAGAGAAGACACUUGAAAGUAUGUAUGAAGAAGUCUGAUUAGUGUGCUAGUUUGCAAAAGAAAAACCAUGUCCAGUGAGACUGCAACACAAUCUGCACAUAUUCAGGAAAAUAUAAACGAUGGUGAAGGGCAGGAAAACAUUCCACCUGCAGACACAUCUACAACUUCAAAGGGCAAAGCCCAGAUGGAGGAUGUAAUGGGAGCUUCUUCUACACAGACACGUGAAGAAAACAAGCCUCUCUCUGACAGCUGCCCCUUUUCAACCCCAGCUCCAACAAGCAGCAGUGCUAUCAAGACACGGAUUUCUGGUUUCCAGUCGGCUCUUACACCUAUUUUAAAAUGCUUAAAUAUUGGAAGCAAACGUCAGUCUCCCGCAAAACAUGGAAACGAUCCUAGUCUGACCGUUUCUCUUUUCCCUUUUGGCCAAAAAUCAUCAAGAGAUUCUAUCCAGCAUCCUAUCUCUGAUUUCUUCAACAGCCAUUCUGGCCUGUCAAUGCGUGGUAGGAAUGAUCCUGUGUGCUGUCUGCAGGCCGAGUCAUUGCCAGAAGUUACUGUACUCGAUGUAACAUGUGAUUCCACACUGCAGAUGAGUAGAAAUGAUUCAGCUCUUCCUGACAGUGCACCUGCAACGCCUAUAAUACGCAGGUGUGUCAACAACACUUUCUCUGAUCUCCACCCCUCACAGAAUAACAUAGUGGAUCGUUUUCCAGAGGAGAGUGGGGCUACAGAUCAGACUACUUCGCUCUGCAAAAACAACACUGAAACUUCUCUUAUUGUGAAUCACAGUAGCUCAGCUGGAAAGGCAAGUUGUACCUCUGUGCAGGAUAGCACUUUGGAGAGCCAUUCUAUGAAAACAGCCACUACAGUGGAAGCUGUCAAUACAACCUUUAACCUCCAGAACAACACUGCCGAUCAUACAGUUUCCUUUAAACAAACUGAAACAAGUUUAAGUGAAAGUCACCAGAGUACUGAAGUCAGACCAUGUCCUCUUAUUGUCUCUAAUGCAACCUCAAGUGCUAAACUGCAUAAUUCUGAAGUCCUUCCUUCAGAACUAGAAAAAUGUGCGAAGAAAAGAAGCAAUAAAGACCCUAAGAUCAAGCUGGUUGACCACCUGGAGAGCAAGUAUGUUCUGGGGGGUGACGUUACUCUUCUUGACGUUACACGUGAUUCAGAGCCAUCACCAGGAAUACCAACCAUGAAUAUCUCACAACAUGAUUGUCUGAAAGACGGACAGAUUGUGGCAGAGUCUUGCCAAACACUCGUGAUCCAGAAAGAAGAACUGCCAGUGGCACAGUCUGACGUAAUUAAAUCAUCCUUAGAUAUAACUUCGGAUAUUACCAUGGGCAGUGUUUCGGAAGGCAGCAGGUCUUCAUCAGAAGGAAGUGGACAAAAUAUGGAGAAGGUUCAAUCUGCUAAUGCUACUUAUGACUUAAGCAUGUCUAGUGACACAACUUCCCAAAAUUCACAUGCCUCUUACGAUAUGGAGUGUAGCACUAGUUCAAAGAAGGCCGAACUGCAUGUUGAGCCUACAGCUGAUGCUAUGAAAGAUAACGAUGAGGAGUUACUUACCAGCCAUGACACCGAGUUGACCAGCACGGUGUCACCAAGCCCACAAACAGCUGGGUUUGUGAUUGUGCAGCCCUCCAAUCUGAGUGCCUCCACAGGUUUAAACACUACAGUUCCAAUUUCCUGCCCUCAAAACAGGAUGCUUGAUCUUUCUACGUCCAACGUAAAUGGUCCCAAAGUGGAGCAUGAAUGUACAGGGCAGGCUACUUCAGUCACCAUACAUCAAGAAAUCUCUAAUGUGCAGGACAGUGCUCCUUGUGGCGUGCAGGACAGUGCUCCUUGUGGCGUGCAGGACAGUGCUCCUUGUGGCGUGCAGGACAGUGCUCCUUGUGGCGUGCAGGACAGUGCUCCUUGUGGCGUGCAGGACAGUGCUCCUUGUGGCGUGCAGGACAGUGCUCCUUGUGGCGUGCAGAACACCACAUUUGAUAGACAUUCUCUUCAAAAAUCUAGUGACAACACUGUAGAAGAUGCCGGUGUAACAACCUUUCAGGUCCAAAAUAAUACAUUUGAUUAUAAACCUCCUUCUAAACAGAAUGGUACAAUAUCUUUGCCAGAAACAAGCUUAAGUGACAGCCACCAGAAUACUGUUAACAAGCCAGCCUCUCCUGAAGUCUGCAAUCUAACCACGGACCUUAAGGAGGAAACUUCUGAAGGCCUACCGCCUGCCACAGAGCCUAAUGCCAAUAUGGUAGAAACCCCUAAUGGCACAUUUGAAGCACAGCCUGUUUUGCAGGGAGAUUCUGCAGCUGGAGGACAUGACACUAAAGAUCUUUCAGCAUCAGAAGGACAUUGCAACACUUCAAAACAUCAAGUCAUGGAUACAGAGAAUAACACAGCAAACACCUUCAAUUUAGAUGACACACUAGAUUUGAGAGCAGACCCCUUGAUCACUUCAACACCAAUGAUUCACUGUAAACUGUUCACUUUGACCACCAAGUCAGAGGAUGGCAAACUCUCAGGACCACAGAAAGACCUGCAUGGAGAUGGUCCCAUUCACCCAGCUGUCCAAGUGCCAUCAGAUGUGCCAUCAAACAUCAUCUCUGACAGGAAAACUUUCUUGACUCAACCUGCGGUCAAAUCUCUUUGGCCUUCGUCAACAGCAACAUCCCGGCUGUUGAAGUUUAAACCAGCCUCCACCCUUCCAGGACGGUUUGACCCACACUCACUGACAUCAGGCCUGCCCAUGACGAGACAACGAACCCAAGCCAAGGCUUUGAAAGACGCUUCUAGUUGUGAUGCAUCGCAGGGGACUACAGGAAUGUCAAGCUCCUACAACUUGCGUGCUACGACAACAGGAUCCAGGCAGCCCUGUUCUGGCUUGCGGAAGCCCCAGAUGAGCGGUAUCCCAACAGGCAUCCAGAGAGCUGCACCAGGUCUGAAGCUGCCAUCAGGAAGAACUAAUGUAGCAUCCUCAUCAAGUACAGAGAAACUCUGUGGACCUACAGUCCCUAACCCUGUUAUAAAGCCUUCACAAGCAAGUAAGCACACUUUAUCCAGAGGUGACAACUUACCAGUAUCAAAGAGGAAGAAAAUGGACCUUCCUGUAUCAUCUGAUAGUGUUGAAGCACCAACAUCUGAUACUACAAAAGGAACCAGAAAUUUAAAACAGCCUGCAGCUAGUCGGAAAGCUGUGCCUGCUAAAACCCAAAGAGAUGAUGCUGCAGUGGCCAAAAGUACCUUGGAAACCUCAACAUCAUGUGAUGCUGCCAAAGGAGCCAGAGCUCUGAAGCCUCCGUCAAGUCAGAGAGCUCUCCCAGGAAAACAACAAGCUCAUGAAGCUGCAGGACCAGCAAAUACUGUGGAAAGCUCAACCUUGUGUGAUGCUGCCAGCCGAGCCAGACCUCUGAAAAUGCCUGCAACCACCUGCCAAGGAGCUCUGCAGGCUAAACAUGGUUGUGCCAAAUGUGUUGAACUUGAAGAGGAUCUCAAAACAAAAUCAGAAGAAAUAAGAAGGCUGAAAAAAGGUAUAACUCGUUAUUGAGGCACCGUUCACAUUGUAAGCCACAGUGUACAGAUUGGAUUGUGUUGAGCAGCUCAGACUUGUCUAACUUCAUCA